rnacentral:rRNA from 1 species
AACGAACGCUGGCGGCGUGGAUAAGACAUGCAAGUCGAACGGGAUCAGUGAGGUAGCAAUACAUCAUUGGUUCAGUGGCGAACGGGUGCGUAACACGUGGAUACAUUCCGGGAAGCGGGGAUAGCCCAGGGAAACUUGGAUUAAUACCGCAUGUGAUCGAAAGAUCAAAGACGGGGACCGCAAGGCCUGUCACUUCCCGAUUGGUCCGCGGCCUAUCAGCUAGUUGGCGGGGUAAAAGCCCACCAAGGCGACGACGGGUAGCUGGUCUGAGAGGACGACCAGCCACACUGGAACUGAGACACGGUCCAGACACCUACGGGUGGCAGCAGUCGAGAAUCUUUCACAAUGGGGAAACCCUGAUGGAGCGACGCCGCGUGGAGGAUAAGGUCUUCGGAUUGUAAACUCCUGUCAUGCGUGAACAAGGCAGCCAGGUUAAUAACUUGUGCUGAUUGAUGGUAACGCAAGAGGAAGAGACGGCUAACUCUGUGCCAGCAGCCGCAGUAACAC